GCUCGAGUAGCUCAGUGGUAGAGCGCGUCAUUGGUAAUGACGAGGUCGGCAGUUCAAUUCUGCCUUCGAGCACCA
rnacentral:tRNA from 1 species